CGGGGGCGGGUCGUGCCGGCUCCGAGCUGCUCGGGUUCCGCUGUUCGCUGUACUUGGUGCGAAGUGGAAGCGAAGCAGCUCUGGUAUCACCACUCUUGGCCCUUUCUCAAGAGCAUCCGACAAUGAACAAAUCCCAGGUUCGCAGCGCAGGUAAUCGACAAGCCUCCCGGUCGACGCGCUGGUCCGUGACCGAGUCCUGCGGGAGAAUGCGCACCCCAGCCAGGUUCCUAUUUCCUUGGAUCACACAGCUCUUGUGAGGAAAGAAGGUGGGGCCACCAGGAGCAGGACUCCCACCUGGGAGGGGAGAUCCCCAUCCUACCCGGAUACAGCUCACCUCCGAUGCGGGGGCACAGAUCCCAGGAACAAGCACGUUCUAUCUUGACUUCCUCUGGGGCAAUUCCUGAUCCUUCCGCCCUGAAGAGCAUCACCACACCAGACGUUGUCGAGAGCCAUCAAUCGGUGAAGAUGUGAGCCGACUUUCAAAAGAGAGAGGUCAGCUGAGCUGAGGGUGCUGGGCAAGAGGCAGGCUCCCUGGGAUGAGGAAAUCCUGUGGAUGGUUGGUGAGGGUGUGGUCUGGGAGGAAGGCGGGGGAGACACUCUCUCCACUCCUCCCAGAGACUCCUCCCCGCAAUUUUUAUUCUCCAGUCCCUCUUCUGGGAUCUACACAGCCCACAGACCCCGGCCAUCACCUCAUCUGGAAUUUAGAGAUAUGCUACCCACCCCUCAUUCCUGCCUUUGUAGGAGUACAGAAAGGGGGUCUUCAGGAGUUCUAUAAUCCUGCCUUAUUUUAGAAGUGAACAGUAUGAACUCUGAGCGAGUCAUUAGCAUAGGGUUAAGUUCAAGGUUUCUGGAGACUACCAGGGUUCAAAGCGUGGCUCUACCCUGUUACUUUCACUUCUUUCCCUCAAUUUCCUCAUCUGUAAACUGGGAGUAAUAACACUACCUACAUUCUGCUUUAUUUUAAGGAAUAAAUGAGGUAAUAUAUGUGAAGGACUUAGAAUAGUGCCUGUUACACAGGAAGAACUACCCAAGUAUUUUCAGUAUCAUCAAUAUUAUUAUAAUCUCAGUUUACAUGAUUUGUUAGUCCCAGCACCUAAAGGAGCAUUGGGGCCCCCUGACUCCCAAGUCCCAUCCUGUCGACUGUGUCUCAGUUAAAGCAAAAUUAGUUUCUUAACAAAAAAUCC